GAAAGGCAGACUCACCCUUAAUCUGGUUGGACACAAUCUAAUCAGCUUCGAGCACAGCCAGAAGAAAAGCCCGCAGAAGGAUGUGAAAAGACUGGAUUGGUUUAGUAUUCUGGCCUACAUCUUUCUCCUGUGCUGAUGCUUCCUGCCCUCUGACAUCAAACUCCAAGUUCUUCAACGGUGGGACACUGACUGUCUUUCUUGUUCCUCAGCUUGCAGACGGCCUAUUGUGGGAACUCACCUUUUGAUCAUGCGCUGGAGCAGAAUAGGGGAGUCAAGAAGAAAAGCAAUUAACGAAUAAAGGAAAAAGUACCAACAGUGAAGGGAAAAAAAAUUCUUCUGAAGGCUAAAGAAGAGAGAAUAAUUGAUGGUUCCAUUUUAGCUUAAUGUU
rnacentral:lncRNA from 13 species